rnacentral:rRNA from 1 species
CCCUUAGAUGUUCGGGGCCGCACGCGCGCUACACUGAAGGACUCAGCGUGUCUCUCCCCCUAUCCCGAAAGGGAUGGGCAACCCGUUGAACCUCCUUCGUGCUAGGGAUUGGGGUUUGCAAUUAUCCCCCAUGAACGAGGAAUUCCCAGUAAGCGCGAGUCAUCAGCUCGCGUUGAUUACGUCCCUGCCCUUUGUACACACCGCCCGUCGCUACUACCGAUUGGAUGGUUUAGUGAGACCCUCGGAUCGGUCCCGACUCGGGGUGGGCUUCUGCCCCGGUCGUGGUUUCGCCGAGAAGACGGUCAAACUUGACUAUCUAGAGGAAGUGAAAGUCGUAACA